GGGACACCCGGGAACGGAGAGUAGA
rnacentral:piRNA from 1 species